UACGUAGGGACCAAGCGUUGUUCGGAUUUACUGGGCGUAAAGGGCGCGUAGGCGGCUUUGCAAGUGACGGGUGAAAGCCCUCGGCUUAACCGAGGAACUGCCUGUCAGACUGUGAGGCUUGAGACCGGGAGAGGUGAGUGGAAUUCCCAGUGUAGCGGUGAAAUGCGUAGAUAUUGGGAGGAACACCAGUGGCGAAGGCGGCUCACUGGACCGGAACUGACGCUGAGGCGCGAAAGCGUGGGGAGCAAACAGG
rnacentral:rRNA from 1 species